AAACGCGGUCCCUAUGUCAACCAAUCAAAUAUGGCCACUAAAACGUAAUACACAACCCCGUUAACGAAAACCGUGGCUUCCCCAGUGAAUAAAAAGAAAAUGUCUCCGUUUGCCGGUUAAGCAGAGGACAAAACAGUGAAGAAGGGCACAGUAACCGGAGGUACCGGUAGCCUAGAAACGGACAAUAAUUCCACUAGCUUUGAAGUAAUUGCAGAAUCUGACUUCGCUGCAGGCACACAGAGUGAGAAAUUUCAUUUUUUUUUUAAAUAAAAUAAAAAUGUAGUGCCAUUUGUGAGGAGAGAGAGAGGGAGACAGAAACAGUGUACGAGUGGUAAUGGCAGCGACUAUUGCUGAGACAGUUGCUGAAGAGAGAGAAAGCGAAGCAGAGAAGCAAAGAAAGGACAGUCUCAUUAUUAGAUCAGAUUAUUUCUACUAUUUUUCUUCUCCGUAUGAAGCCAAACAGAUCUUUGAAGUCGUUGCUCUACUCUUGUUAUUGCUUCAAGAGAAGCAGAAGAUCAUUUCGAUUGCUAACGUUUCACUUUCUGUAGAAAAUCAUUCCCUGUAAUAAUUAAUCAUUUAAUCAGUUUCUAGUUCAUAAACAGUCGUUUAAUUGAGUACUCUUAUUAGUUUUGGAUUAUAAUAAUGAUUAACGGAAGUUAUUCUGUGGAUAAUAAACGUAAUGGACUUGCGAGAGGGAGUUCGACUUUUCCGGUGGCCGGUGAAGGAUCAGAGGAUGCACUGUACAAGGAACUGUGGCACGCAUGUGCAGGUCCGUUAGUGACAGUGCCUCGCCAAGGAGAGCUUGUUUACUACUUUCCUCAAGGUCAUAUUGAACAGGUUGAAGCAUCGACGAAUCAGGUUGCUGAUGAUCAGCAAAUGCCGGCUUAUAAUCUUCCUCCUAAAAUCCUCUGUCGUGUGGUUAAUGUUCAAUUGAAGGCUGAGGUGGAUACAGAUGAAGUGUUUGCUCAAGUCAUUCUGCUUCCUGUAGCUGAACAAGAUGUGGACUUGGUGGAGAAGGAGGAUUUGCCGCCUCCGCCUGCACGUCCUCGGGUGCAUUCCUUUUGUAAGAUGCUUACAGCAUCAGAUACGAGCACACAUGGUGGAUUUUCAGUGCUGAGACGGCAUGCUGAUGAAUGUCUACCUCCUUUGGACAUGUCCCUACAACCUCCAGCACAGGAGCUGGUAGCCAAAGAUUUGCAUGGAAAUGAGUGGCGUUUCCGCCACAUAUUUCGAGGUCAACCAAGAAGGCACCUUCUUCAAAGUGGUUGGAGUCUCUUUGUCAGUGCCAAAAAGCUUGUGGCGGGAGAUGCUUUUAUUUUUCUUAGGGGUGAAACUGAAGAGCUUCGUGUAGGGGUAAGACGUGCUCUGAGUCAGCCAAGCAAUGUCCCAUCUUCUGUAAUGUCUAGUCACAGCAUGCAUAUUGGCAUCCUUGCAACUGUGUGGCAUGCUGUUUCGACAGGAUCAAUGUUCACUGUUUAUUAUAAACCAAGGACUAGUCCUGCCGAGUUUAUUAUUCCAAUUGAUAAAUAUAGGGAGUCUGUCAAGAUAAACUAUGCUAUAGGGAUGAGGUUCAAAAUGAAAUUCGAAGCUGAAGAGGCCCCAGAACAAAGGUUCUCUGGCACUGUAAUUGGAGUAGAAGAGGCAGAUCCAAAGAAGUGGCCUCGCUCAAAGUGGAGAUGCCUCAAGGUUCGCUGGGAUGAAACUUCUCCUGUUCACCGUCCAGACAGGGUUUCUCCUUGGAAAAUAGAACGUGCUUUGGCUCCUUCUCUGGAUCCCGUUCUGGGGUGCCAAUCGAAAAGGCACUGUUCAAACAUGGCAACAUCAUCUGCAGAUUCCUCUGCUCCUACAAAGAAAGAUAAUGAGCCUUCAAGACACCUGCAACAUCAAGAAAUCUUGACCUUGAGAAACACACAUGCUGAGAAGAAUUACUCAGAUAGUAAGCACAAUCCUGCACAGGCUCUAUUUCAAGGUAAGGAUCAGACUGCUUUUGAUAAUAGAAAAUUUGGACCAGAUGACAAGAUUCCUCAAGUAAUGCAUGGAGCAAAACUCAUGAACCUAACAACAGGACCUGGAACCCUGCGUGAAUCCUAUGAAUCAACUCGCCCCUUCUUUGAGCUGAACUCUGAUGACGUUGAUCGACCCAGUAAACUUAAUGAAACAGGCAUGUUCAACUGCCAUUCAGCUCCCUUGAUGUAUUUAGGCCACCCAUUUAACAUGAUGGCAUCUAGGAUGGAAGUUCAUGUGGCAAAAGAUAAAGACAUACAACAGCAGCGUGGAAGCUGGUUUUCACCUUUGCCAUAUGCUGAUAAUUCUUCUCAUCCUUCGGGAUCUAAACCACAGCAUCUUCCUUUUCAACAACGUAACAAGGAAACAUCUAAAGAUGGUAAUUGCAAACUUUUCGGCUUCUCCCUUUUUGGGAAUCCUAUGGCUGCAGAACCAGCCAUUAUACACGGGCACUCCACAGAGAAACAACAGCAGCAAAUCAAUGUUGCAUCAGAUCACCUGAAAUUGUUGGGUUCUGAAGGAUUUUUGGAGCAAGCAAAGCAUCCAAAGCAUGUUAGACCUGAGGAACAAGGGAACAUUUUUCAAGCUUCUGCUCUUCAUUCUAAAAAUGUCCAGGGCAUGCCCGAGGGUGAUUCAACCAGAAGAUGUGUAAAGGUUUACAAGCAGGGGACUGCUGUGGGGAGGUAUCUGGACCUGGCAAAGUUUAAUGGUUAUAAUGAAUUGACAGCAGAACUGGAUCAGAUUUUUGAAUUUCAUGGUGAAUUAGUUGCCCCUAACAAAGAUUGGUUGAUUGUUUUUACUGAUGAUGAGGGUGAUAUGAUGCUUGUAGGAGAUGAUCCCUGGCAGGAAUUCUGUAGUCUGGUGCGCAGGAUCUUUGUCUUCACUAGAGAGGAGAUAAACAGGAUGGAGCCACGAUCCCUGAAUCUAGAAGCCGAGGGAAAUUCACAAACUGCAGACCAAAUGGUUGAUUUGAUGGAGGAUGGAACUUCAAAGCAUCUUCCAGCUUUGAGUCCCUAGGAGUUUUCAGGCUUGUGCUACACGACUGGCAGUAAGGUUAAGAGAUUCAUCUACGUGGACGCCCAGGCCAUAGUUUGAGAAACAUCAGAAAGCUAGGUCAGGAGGCUGAAAAGGUGACACAAACGAAGUUGUUGCAUUGUGGCCAAGAUGACAAUGUUGAGGCAGUUGUGAUGUCCUCUUCUAAGCUUUGUCAUCUUGUGCAGCGUGGCUUGUUUGGUAGAUAAGAGUUUUUGUCAUACAGCAUAUGUAACCUUCUAAUGUUUAUUUUUUACUUACUCUUGGGAGGAUUGGAAAAAUAGCAUCAGUUGUUUUUAUUAGCUUGGAAUGCUUAGACACACGGGCAGACCAGGGACCGCUUUCCAGUUCCACUCGACUCUUUCCUCUGUUAUUUAUGCCCGUGAAAAGAAAAUUGCUAGAGACAGCUCGUCUGCAACUCACAAAAUCUUUGAUUGAACACAUAUCAUGGUAAGUAACCCCAUCACUCUUUUUUUACCACCUUA